CGGGGGAUGCCUUGGCUCUCAGAGGCGAAGAAAGACGUGAUAAGCUGCGAUAAGCUACGGGGAUUGGCAAAUACGAAUAGAUCCGUAGAUUUCUGAAUGGGGAAACCUAGCUGGUUGAAGACCAGUUAUCCGUAAGGAGGCGAACGCGCUGAACUGAAACAUCUAAGUAGGCGUAGGAAGAGAAAACAAUAGUGAUUUCCGGAGUAGCGGCGAGCGAAAUGGAAAAAGCCCAAACCAGUAAUGUUUCGGCAUUGCUGGGGUUGUAGGGCUGCAAUAUGGACUAUUAUAUUAUAGAGGAAGUGUUUGGAAAGUCACUCCGCAGAAGGUGAAAGGCCUGUACUCGAAAUAGUAUAAUUACCUAGCAGUACCCUGAGUAGGGCGGGACAUGUGGAAUCCUGUCUGAAUCAACCGGAACCAUCCGGUAAGGCUAAAUACUCCUGAGAGACCGAUAGCGAACGAGUACUGUGAAGGAAAGGUGAAAAGAACCCUGAACAAGGGAGUGAAAUAGACCCUGAAACCGUGUGCCUACAAGCGGUCGGAGCCAUUCGUGGUGACGGCGUGCCUUUUGCAUAAUGAUCCUACGAGUUACUCCUCAUUGGCAAGGUUAAGUGAUUCAGUCACGGAGCCGAAGCGAAAGCGAGUCUGAAUAGGGCGUUUUAGUCAGUGGGGGUAGACGCGAAACCUUGUGAUCUACCCAUGGGCAGGUUGAAGUUCCAGUAACAUGGAAUGGAGGACCGAACCGAUAAACGUUGAAAAGUUUCCGGAUGACCUGUGGGUAGGGGUGAAAGGCCAAUCAAACUGGGAAAUAGCUCGUACUCCCCGAAAUGCAUUUAGGUGCAGCGUUCAGGUUGAGUCUUAUAGAGGUAGAGCUACUGAUUGGACUAGGGGGCUUCACCGCCUACCAAAUCCUGACAAACUCCGAAUGCUAUAAGAUAUACUGAGCAGUGAGGGCACGGGUGCUAAGGUCCGUGUCCGAGAGGGAAAGAACCCAGACCAUCAGCUAAGGUCCCCAAAUGUACACUAAGUUGAUCAAACGUUGUCCGGUUGCAUUGACAGCUAGGAUGUUGGCUUGGAAGCAGCCAUUCAUUUAAAGAGUGCGUAACAGCUCACUAGUCGAGCGAUCGGGCGUGGAUAAUAAGCGGGCAUUAAGUGUACUACCGAAGCUAUGGAUUUGUAGUAAUACAACUGGUAGGGGAGCAUUCUAGUCAGCGUAGAAGGUGCAUGGUGAUGUGUGCUGGAGCGGCUAGAAAAGCAAAUGUAGGAAUAAGUAACGAUAAUGCAGGCGAGAAACCUGCACACCGAAAGACUAAGGUUUCCUGGGCGACGCUAAUCGUCCCAGGGUUAGUCGGGACCUAACGCGAACCCGAAGGGGGUAGUGGAUGGCAAACGGGUUAAUAUUCCCGUACUUGCUUUAACUGCGAUGGGGUGACGGAGUAUUGAAAGGACCGCGAACUGACGGAAUAGUUCGUUGAAGGUUGUAGCUAUAUUUUGGAUAGUUAAAUGCGUUCAGAAUGGCAAAGACCGAUAGUACCGCGCGGCUUCGGCCAAGUGGAUAGUGUCCCUAAAAGCUUCCAAGAAAAACCUCUAAGCUUCAGGUUAAAGCAACUCGUACCGUAAACCGACACAGGUAGUCGAGGAGAGAAUCCUAAGGUGCUCGAGUGAUUCAUGGCUAAGGAACUAGGCAAAAUGGUCUCGUAACUUCGGGAGAAGAGACGCCACAGCAAUGUGGCCGCAGUGAAUAGGCCCAGGCGACUGUUUAUCAAAAACACAUGGCUUUGCAAAAUCGAAAGAUGAAGUAUAAGGCCUGACACCUGCCCGGUGCUGGAAGGUUAAGAGGAGAUGUUAGUUUCGGCGAAGCAUUGAAUUGAAGCCCCAGUAAACGGCGGCCGUAACUAUAACGGUCCUAAGGUAGCGAAAUUCCUUGUCGGGUAAGUUCCGACCUGCACGAAUGGUGUAACGAUCUGGGUACUGUCUCAGCCAUGAGCUCGGUGAAAUUGUAGUAUCGGUGAAGAUGCCGAUUACCCGCAACGGGACGAAAAGACCCCGUGAACCUUUACUAUAGCUUCACAUUGACAUUGGGUAAUUCAUGUGUAGGAUAGGUUGGAGACUUUGAGGCUGCGUCGC
rnacentral:rRNA from 1 species